rnacentral:lncRNA from 1 species
CCGUGGUCUUCCGCAGGCGCCGUUGCCGCGACCUGCCCCAGGCGCCGCCACCGCGAACUGCCAAGGCCGCCGCCGCGACCUGCCUUAGGCCCAUACUAGUUCGCAAGUCCUUGUAGAUACGGCCUUUGAAGUUGCAGAGAAAUUGCUUUCGUUCUAAUUGUAAUUCUGUACUACUAUAGUAUUUGCAGUUUUUUUUCUGUCAUUAACUCAUGAUUCUUUUACUGUCCAUCGGUGUUGAGGCAAGAAUCGACCUGCAGAUUUUGUGUUCUCUCUUCCACAAUGUGAUGCAGACAGACGUGCAGCUAACGCAGGCAAGUGUUCAAAAAAUUUGUGUCAAGAUCGAUGAUGAAUUUGAUGAUGUUUAUGCAAAUUUGCCGAGCAAGCUCCGUCUGCUGCAAAGGGUGUUUUGGAUAAAAGCUACUCCUAUUACUUACCACCAUGAAUGAAUAUCAGUUCAGAAGCACUAAAACGACCAGUUGAAGUAAACAAUGCCAUUACUUUUAAAACUAAUGUUGAUCUGUUUUGUGGAUCCACAGACCAAAAGCACACAGACAAUUGUACCUGAGAGGAAGAUCAAAGAACAAAGGUGCAUGGAGAAAACCUAC